rnacentral:misc_RNA from 1 species
CUUUCGUGAGAAGGUGCUGGCGCUCCUCACUUCCUCACCACCACCACCGCCACCCCUUUGUGUUAAACUUGUUGCUGUGCUCUCUCUCUCCUCCCUCCCCCCUUUUUGUCCGUUGCGCAUCUUUUAGCUCCACCCUUUCCCCUCUAGCGCCCGCCGUCGAAGCCUGAGACGAUGCCGCAGAACGAGUACAUUGAGCAAGCGCAGAAGCGCUACGGUCGCCGCCUUGACCAUGUCGAGCGCACCCGCAAGCGCGAAGCCCGCAAGGCGCACACGGAUGCGAACUACCUGAAGCGGGUGCGUGGUAUAAAGGCCAAGCUGGCGCAAAAGGCCCGCUACGCGGAAAAGGCUGAAAUCCGCAAGAAGAUCCGUGAGCAUGAGGAGAAGCAGACGACGGAGCGGGUGAAGGACAAGGGGCCCAAGAAUGCUUUGCCCGGCUUCCUGAUGGACCGUAGCGAGGCCGACCGCGCCAAGGUGCUGUCAAACUCGUUGAAGCAGAAGAGGAAGGAGAAAGCCGGCAAGUGGGCCGUGCCGAUCGAGAAGGUCAAGACGGUGUCGGAGGAUGAGAUGCUCAAGGCUGUCACCUCUGGCAAGCGCGGGAAGAAGUCGUGGAAACGCUUGGUGAACAAGGUAACAUUCGUCGGGGAGACCUUCACCCGCCGCAUGCCGAAGAUGGAGCGCUUCAUUCGGCCCAUGGCACUGCGCUUCAAGAAGGCCCACGUCACCCACCCGGAGCUGAAGGCCACCUUCUGCCUCCCCAUCAUCUCUGUCAAGAAGAACCCGCAGGGCAAGAUGUACACCGGCCUUGGCGUCAUCACGAAGGGCUCCGUGAUUGAGGUGAACGUGUCCGAGUUAGGUCUGGUGACGCCGUCUGGUAAGGUAGUGUGGGGCAAGUACGCGCAGGUAACAAACAACCCGGAGAACGACGGCUGCAUCAAUGCCGUGCUGCUCGUCUGAGUUACUUGUCCCAAGCGCGGAGGGACACAAGUGUGACGCACGAUCACGGUGAGGGGGACAAUCCCCCGGAAAGGCAAGUAACAGAUAGAGAGAGAGCAACAAAGUGAAAACAUACGCUGCUCGUUUAGUCACUCACCCUCCACGUGCUCCCUCGCACUGUUCUCACCGAUUCCUUUGUUUUUCCGCUUCUGUACUUUAGAAUGAAUAGGCCGUUGCCGGUGAUUUGAGUCUUCUGUGCUGUCGCUACUUCCCUGUGUGAGCUACUCGCAGCUUGUGCAUGAGGAAGAGGUGGGCUGUGGUGAGCGCCUGCCUUAUCUUUUGAACCGUCUUUUUGUCGACGGUGAAAACAUGAGUGUGGUGGUGGCCGAAACACACGAAAAGGAUGCGAUGCGCAUAUAAUAUACCACCGCGGUGUGAAUGUUUGGGCGUGUGUGUGUGUGCCCGAAGGCGGAAACGAAUUUUCUUGUGCGGCCAUGUGCUGACGGCGGCUGGAUAAGUGUAACUGCUAAAGAAGAUACGGUGCAUGUGCACGGUCCUCGGCGCGUGUGUUCGCUCUUUGUUAUCUCUCCAUAACAUCUUUCGAGUAACUUUCUCACUUUCGUCUGUUUUUGUGUUUUUCUCCUUUCUUUAUCCUGCAAUUGUGUGUGUGUGUGUGUGUGUGUGUGUGUUUGUAGAAGUGUGCGUGUGUUUUUAGGUGAGAAUAUUGUGUAUGCUGUAUGUACGCUCAGCAAAUCGCAUG